AGAGUUUGAUCCUGGCUCAGGAUGAACGCUGGCGGCGUGCCUAACACAUGCAAGUCGAGCGAUCUUCUUCGGAAGAGAGCGGCGGACGGGUGAGUAACGCGUGGGUAACCUGCCUCAUACACAUGGAUAACAUACCGAAAGGUAUGCUAAUACAAGAUGAUAUAAGAGAUUCGCAUGGAUUUCUUAUCAAAGCUCCGGCGGUAUGAGAUGGACCCGCGUCUGAUUAGCUAGUUGGUAAGGUAACGGCUUACCAAGGCGACGAUCAGUAGCCGACCUGAGAGGGUGAUCGGCCACAUUGGAACUGAGACACGGUCCAAACUCCUACGGGAGGCAGCAGUGGGGAAUAUUGCACAAUGGGCGAAAGCCUGAUGCAGCAACGCCGCGUGAGCGAUGAAGGCCUUCGGGUCGUAAAGCUCUGUCCUCAAGGAAGAUAAUGACGGUACUUGAGGAGGAAGCCCCGGCUAACUACGUGCCAGCAGCCGCGGUAAUACGUAGGGGGCUAGCGUUAUCCGGAUUUACUGGGCGUAAAGGGUGCGUAGGUGGUUUCUUAAGUCAGGAGUGAAAGGCUACGGCUCAACCGUAGUAAGCUCUUGAAACUGGGAAACUUGAGUGCAGGAGAGGAAAGUGGAAUUCCCAGUGUAGCGGUGAAAUGCGUAGAUAUUAGGAGGAACACCAGUAGCGAAGGCGGCUUUCUGGACUGUAACUGACACUGAGGCACGAAAGCGUGGGGAGCAAACAGGAUUAGAUACCCUGGUAGUCCACGCCGUAAACGAUGAGUACUAGGUGUCGGGGGUUACCCCCCUCGGUGCCGCAGCUAACGCAUUAAGUACUCCGCCUGGGGAGUAUGCUCGCAAGAGUGAAACUCAAAUGAAUUGACGG
rnacentral:rRNA from 1 species